CCUUUGUCUAACCUCGAGUUUCGUACUUCUUGAUCUAAAAUAGUAAAUUUAACUUAUUUAAUAAUCACAUUCAUCAAAAUAGCCCUCGACUCUAACUUUUUCAAAAUUACAAUUUUGCCCCUAAACUUUUACAUAAUUACAUUUUUGCCCCAAGGCUCGGAAAUUAAACUUCAUCUCUUAUUCUUAUGUUUUAUAACAUUCUGAACAUUUUUCCCUUCUAUGGCAACAUCAAAUUCUAAUUUAAUCCCUUAUCAAUACUAAUUUUAUUUUUGCAUUCUAACUCUAUAUUCUCUCUUAAUUCUUACUAUAAAGUCAAUUUAAUUCCUCAAUUUCACCAUAAAUCCCUAAUUUCGGGAUUCUUUCAAUUUAAUCCCUAUCGAUUCAAAACUUAUAUUUUAUUUUACAAUUAUGUUCUUUACUAACUUCUAACUUGAAAUUAAAUCAAUUUAACCCCUAACUAAACCUAUAUAUUUUUCUUUCUCAAUUCAUACCCUUAUUCUACCCAAUUUCUUGCUAAACUCAUAUUUAACUAUUUAAUUUUUAUCAUGUUUUCAUAAUUUCGAAUUUAUUUCAAAUUAAUCCCUAAAAUUCAAAACUUAUAGUUUAGUUUACAAUUCAAUCCUUUAUUCAAUUCCAAUCAAAAUUUCUAUCAAAUACAUCCCUAAUUUAACAAUUUAUUCAACAUGAACCAUGCUUAAUAAUCUACUAACUUCCAAAAUUUCAACUUAAUCAAGUAGUAUUUUGUUCUAGGAUUUCAAAAAAAAUAUCAAAAUUAAGAGAAAAUGGGAUUAAAUUGACUUACCAAAUUACUUUGAACCUUAAAACCCCAAAUUUCCCUUUUUCUUUUCUUUUCUUUCUUUCUUUCUUUCCUUCCUUCCUUCUCUGUUUCGUUUUGCUCUCUGUUUCUUUCUUUCUCCCUUCUCUGUUUUGUUUUGCUCUCUGUUUCUUUUCUUUCUUUCUUUGUCAUAUAUAUAUAAUAAUAAUAUAAUAUAAUAUAAUAUAAUAUAUUAAUAAUAAUAUAAUAUAAAAACAUAAUUAUUACUUACGCAUGUAU
rnacentral:lncRNA from 1 species